GGGGGGGGGGUCUUAAGAGGAACUGGAGAGCGCUUGAGGCUGGGGCGCUGUUGCCUGGCUCCUGGCCUUCACUUCCCUGCACCUGCUGCUGCGGCCCUGGGACGCCCACGUGGGUGCGUGGGUACAGGCGGGGUGUGGGUGCUCGCCGCGGUCCUGCCCACAUUUUCCCCAUCACAGCGCUGAGAGAAGGUGGAGGUCUCCUGCCAAUACGUUGGGAUGAGGGAUAAUGAGAUGACCCCCAAAUCCAGAGGGGAUUCCUGAGAUCCGAACGCAACCUUCAAGACUCCAGCUACCAAGCUGUUGGUUCCUCGAUCUCCAGGAAGCUGCAACUCCUUAAUGGUGGGGUAAAGUGAGCAAGUGGAGCGGGUGUCCAUCCGUUUAAGGAAAGGCUGGCAGAUGUGGAAGGGAGGGAACGGAGAAAGACAGCGAGCUAGAGAGCUUGAGAGCGGGAGUCAAGGAGGGGGCGGAGGAAGGGAGAGAUAACGGUGAUGCUGCUGAUGCUGACGAUGAUGAGCGGGGGAGACUGUGCGCGCCCUUAGAGUGCCAACUCCACCUGAACCCGAGGCCUGGGAGGGGAGCUACAAGCUCAAGAAAAGGGAAAGGGGCAAGAGGAUGGAUGGAAAGCGGAUAAUAAAAUGGAGAUAUGAAAAAGCCCAAGAACAGAGGUCAGGAUACGAGAACUGGGUUCAUAUCUGAAUGAAGAUCAGAAAUGAAUAUGUUAAAAUUAUUUUAAUUUACAACGGGAAAGUACAACAGAGUUCUUUUGAGCCAAAGAAUACGAGAAGAUACUUUUGAGUAAUGUCUUUUAUUGAGUUCAAUUCUUCCUAAUCUCUGCUUCCCUCAGAAUUCUUGAUUGGCCUACCGUUAACCAAAGGUACUGAAUGCCAGCAGCUGAUUUAAACAGAACAAACAAUGGCACACAACUCAGGACUUGUAACUGCAUACAUAUGGAGAGAGGUGCUUGGAGAGAAAAUCUGCUCUUCUGCAAUAUUGAAUACAAAAUUAAAGUCUGUCACAGCAAGCAUAACUUGGAGAAAAGAAAUGCAAGAUGAAAUAUAGCUUUUAAAAUCAUUACUAAAAUACAAUGUGUGCAUUUUGCUUAGACAAUAAAAAUGCAUCAUUGGUAUACCUUGAAUUCUGAUUUACUUUAAUAAGCUACUGAGAUAUCUUGAAAAUAGACAUUAUGUGAAACACUCAAACUUAUUCAGCUUUUGUAUUGUCAAUAAAGUUAUUUAAUAAUUAUUAUUUCUAUGUUCUAUAUUUUAGAACUACCUGAAAGCCUAAAAUUUAUCAAUUCCUCCUAAAAUUAUCAUUCUUAAUAAAAUUCAGCAUCAGUUUCACUAUGUGUGUGCUGUCAGUUAAUUUAUAUAAUGGCACAUAUUUAAUUGGAGAGAAAAUUUUCAGUUUCCUGAUUGCUCUGUGGAAUGUGAAUUUGUCAGUACCUUUCUCAAGCAAUCUUUUCCAAGAAGACUUAAGAGGAUAUCAGAGAAAGAGAAAUGGCAUGAAAUCAGGUUUGACUGUUCUUUGCUGUGGAAAACUUCAUUUGAUAAAGAACUAGGACACACACACACAUACAGGAUCUUGCAAAUUAUCAAUUAAAUAGAUUAUAUUAAAUAAGUGGAGUCAAGUACAGAUCAAAUUAUUUUUCCUAUCUUGAUUUAUCCUGAAAUAAACCAAAUGGAUUGCAAUAUGCUUCAAGAGAGGUCCGGGGCAGAGAGCUCAGGACAUAUUUGCUUUUUAGAAUAGUUUGUCAAGAAGCCAGUUUUCAAGGAAGAUUUCUUAUUUGAUUAUGUUUCCAUAACUUUUGAAAUUUUAUGAAUUUCUUAAUUGAUAGCCAUUUAAAAUUGA